rnacentral:rRNA from 1 species
UAGCUUGCUACCUGACCUAGCGGCGGACGGGUGAGUAAUGCUUAGGAAUCUGCCUAUUAGUGGGGGACAACAUUCCGAAAGGAAUGCUAAUACCGCAUACGCCCUACGGGGGAAAGCAGGGGAUCUUCGGACCUUGCGCUAAUAGAUGAGCCUAAGUCAGAUUAGCUAGUUGGUGGGGUAAAGGCCUACCAAGGCGACGAUCUGUAGCGGGUCUGAGAGGAUGAUCCGCCACACUGGGACUGAGACACGGCCCAGACUCCUACGGGAGGCAGCAGUGGGGAAUAUUGGACAAUGGGCGAAAGCCUGAUCCAGCCAUGCCGCGUGUGUGAAGAAGGCCUUUUGGUUGUAAAGCACUUUAAGCGAGGAGGAGGCUACUUGGAUUAAUACUCUAGGAUAGUGGACGUUACUCGCAGAAUAAGCACCGGCUAACUCUGUGCCAGCAGCCGCGGUAAUACAGAGGGUGCGAGCGUUAAUCGGAUUUACUGGGCGUAAAGCGUGCGUAGGCGGCUUUUUAAGUCGGAUGUGAAAUCCCUGAGCUUAACUUAGGAAUUGCAUUCGAUACUGGGAAGCUAGAGUAUGGGAGAGGAUGGUAGAAUUCCAGGUGUAGCGGUGAAAUGCGUAGAGAUCUGGAGGAAUACCGAUGGCGAAGGCAGCCAUCUGGCCUAAUACUGACGCUGAGGUACGAAAGCAUGGGGAGCAAACAGGAUUAGAUACCCUGGUAGUCCAUGCCGUAAACGAUGUCUACUAGCCGUUGGGGCCUUUGAGGCUUUAGUGGCGCAGCUAACGCGAUAAGUAGACCGCCUGGGGAGUACGGUCGCAAGACUAAAACUCAAAUGAAUUGACGGGGGCCCGCACAAGCGGUGGAGCAUGUGGUUUAAUUCGAUGCAACGCGAAGAACCUUACCUGGUCUUGACAUAGUAAGAACUUUCCAGAGAUGGAUUGGUGCCUUCGGGAACUUACAUACAGGUGCUGCAUGGCUGUCGUCAGCUCGUGUCGUGAGAUGUUGGGUUAAGUCCCGCAACGAGCGCAACCCUUUUCCUUAUUUGCCAGCGGGUUAAGCCGGGAACUUUAAGGAUACUGCCAGUGACAAACUGGAAGAAGGCGGGGACGACGUCAAGUCAUCAUGGCCCUUACGACCAGGGCU